rnacentral:misc_RNA from 1 species
UAAGAAACUUCCGGAACCAACCGGCGAAAUUUUGGCCAGGCGCAAGCCCUGCUUUUUUUUGUGGCGCANCCCUGCCGCGGGGCCCGCCGGCGGCGUUUGUGCCGCCCCAGGCAGCGGUUUUCGGGCCCAAGCAUGCGCGUUUAACUGCGUUCGACGAGACGAAUCCAACGCCGCAAUCCGCUCGCCAAAUGACCCGGUCUAGCUCUGUGGGCGGCGCAAACGAGGCAUGUNCACACACGUUUUGGGCUCUCCCAGGGCGUGAUCCAGCCCAACUCGCCCAGAACCCGUCGGGUGGCGACUUUUUUGAGCACCGGGGUCGAUUGCGUUGCGGCAUGGAGACUUUUUAACUAACGCUAUAUAAGUAUCAGUUUCUGUACUUUAUUG